AGCGAACGCUGGCGGCAGGCCUAACACAUGCAAGUCGAGCGCCCAGCAAUGGGAGCGGCAGACGGGAGAGUAACACGUGGGAACGUACCUUUCAGUUCGGAACAACCAAGGGAAACUUUGGCUAACACCGGAUACGCCCGUAAGGGGAAAGAUUUAUCGCUGAAAGAUCGGCCCGCGUCUGAUUAGCUUGUUGGUGAGGUAACGGCUCACCAAGGCGACGAUCAGUAGCUGGUCUGAGAGGAUGAUCAGCCUCACUGGGACUGAGACACGGCCCAGACUCCUACGGGAGGCAGCAGUGGGGAAUAUUGGACAAUGGGCGCAAGCCUGAUCCAGCCAUGCCGCGUGGAUGAUGACGGCCCUAGGGUUGUAAAGUCCUUUUAACGGGGAAGAUAAUGACGGUACCGGAAGAAGAAGCCCCGGCUAACUUCGUGCCAGCAGCCGCGGUAA
rnacentral:rRNA from 1 species